AAGUCGUAACAAGGUUUCCGUAGGUGAACCUGCGGAAGGAUCAUUAAUGAAAAACCGGGGGCGUUCGAGCGGCCCUGCUCGCGGCGGAGACGUUGUUUGAGCGGGCCCUCGGCGCCUCGUCCACACCCACACCCCUGUGCACCUUUGGGAAGGCGGGCUCGCGCCCGUCGGCCCGACACACACACUCUUAAAGUCAUUAGAAUGUCUUGCGGCUCUGCCGCUCUAAACGAAAACAACUUUCAACAACGGAUCUCUUGGCUCUC
rnacentral:misc_RNA from 1 species